CUUUUGUUCAGCAGCUGCUCUGCUUUUCUCUGCAGUUUCAGACUGAGCUGGAACCUGCAGCAGUCUUUCGACGGACUUUUGUAGUCUUGUUCACUUCUUAUGUUGGAGACUGAAAGGAUCACCUUCCUGAAUAUUUAUCAGAAUGUUUUAAGGUAAAAAAUUGAGAAUGGAUCUCCUUGGAGAGGAAGGAGAGAGAAUGGCACAUCUAAAGGAUGCAAUCGAUCAUCCUGAACAUUGGUCCCUUUAAUCUUAUGAAAAUGGAACUGUAAAACUGAACAAAACGAGCAAUUCAGAAGUAUUCUUUGGGCCAAUGCAAAACCUACCUGGAUUCUGUCAUCCUUAGUCACAGUGAAUAGCAGGCUACUCUGUAAAUAGUCCCCAUUAUUUCAAUAUGAAUAAAGGUCACCCAAUUUGGUGCUUAGGGAUUACAAAAUUUUUCAUCUGCAUUUACCAACACUUUUAGAAAACAUGCAUAACUCAUUCAUUCUUGUUUCACACUUGAGAAGCUGGUGUAAAGCUAGAUCAAAUGACUUAUCCUAUAUUGUUCAAUAAGGCAAAGGAAGCCAAGAACAGAAUCUCAUUUAUUUUUCUGAACAGAUUUCAAUAGAACGGGGUAGCAUUCCAUAAGCCUUUCUUUUGGCUUCUGUGCCAUUUCCAAAGAGCUAUAUUUUGAAGAAAAGACGCCUGCUGUAUCUGUUAUUACUGUCAUUUCUUAGCCCAUCAAUGAAUGGAAGCAAAAAUGCUGUCUGAUCCCAACAAGCUCUUAUUCCAAAUGCAGAAGAAAAAGAUUACCAUAGGUGGCAAAUCUACGAAUCUGAAUGAUUUAAGACUUUCAUGCAGAUUAAUGAAAUGUUUUAUUCUAUUUCCCAGAAUUUAUGUGUUUGUUUUCUCAUAAUAAAGGAAGUUUCUAGCUUCUGGUUGUGAAGAUAGCCUUGACAAUGUAAACCAACAUACUUUCAUCUUGUUGAGUCCUCAUCCUUACCAGCUAAAACAAUAGCAUCAAGCAAAGUUAACUUCCCCCAUUCAUCUUGCUGGAGUGUCCGCCUUGAAGCAAAAUAUGUACACUUAAGUACCAACACUGUUAACCAAUUCACUGCUUAUUAUCAGGUUAGAAAUAACUAGUCAGCACAAUUAGACAGUGGGUGGAUGUUUGUGAUGUUCUUGACAUGCUAUCACUUGAAAAUGUCGAAUACAUUAUUGAUAUGAAAAUAGAGAACAAUCUACAAAGUUUAAGAUAUUUUUCUAAACUAAGUAUCUGUUUAAUGCUUCCCCCUUAAGUUUUGGAAUGUAUCUCCUUCUUCUGCAUAUCUAAAACUCUCCCAAACUUAAAUGACUCUUAAGAUUUCUUACCUACUCCCUACCUCUAAUUUUGGUGGUCUAUGACCAAUUGCUGCCUGACUGCGAGAAUCCUCUGCCAUGACAGGGACUUCACUUCAUAUGUAUCUUCAAUUUCUUUGAGAAAAUGUUAAGAAAGAACCAUUCAAAAUUGGCCCAAAAGCACAUGGAUACUCAUUUAUUCUGAACUGAUUGAAACAAUCAAGUGGAAAUUUAAAAAAAAAACUACACUAACACUGUUCUUAUAGUAUUGGAAGGAUGAGAGAGGAGCCA